CUUACGGGAGGCAGCAGGUAAGGAAUCUCGCCAAUGGACGAAAGUCUGACGGAGCACGCCGCGUGAGGUGAUGAAGGGUUUUCGGAUCGUAAAGCUCUGUUGUUAGGGAAGAACAAGUGCGAGAGUAGCUGCUCGCACCUUGACGGUACCUAACCAGAAAGCACGGCUAACUACGUGCCAGCAGCCGCGGUAAUACGUAGGUGGCAAGCGUUGUCCGGAAUUAUUGGGCGUAAAGGGCUCGCAGGCGGUUUCUUAAGUCUGAUGUGAAAGCCCCCGGCUCAACCGGGGAGGGUCAUUGGAAACUGGGAAACUUGAGUGCAGAAGAGGAGAGUGGAAUUCCACGUGUAGCGGUGAAAUGCGUAGAGAUGUGGAGGAACACCAGUGGCGAAGGCGACUCUCUGGUCUGUAACUGACGCUGAGGAGCGAAAGCGUGGGGAGCGAACAGGAUUAGAUACCCUGGUAGUCCACGCCGUAAACGAUGAGUGCUAAGUGUUAGGGGGUUUCCGCCCCUUAGUGCUGCAGCUAACGCAUUAAGCACUCCGCCUGGGGAGUACGGUCGCAAGACUGGAACUCAAAGGAAUUGACGGGGGCCCGCACAAGCGGUGGAGCAUGUGGUUUAAUUCGAAGCAACGCGAAGAACCUUACCAGGUCUUGACAUCCUCUGACAACCCUAGAGAUAGGGCUUUCCCUUCGGGGACAGAGUGACAGGUGGUGCAUGGUUGUCGUCAGCUCGUGUCGUGAGAUGUUGGGUUAAGUCCCGCAACGAGCGCAACCCUUGAUCUUAGUUGCCAGCAUUUAGUUGGGCACUCUAAGGUGACUGCCGGUGACAAACCGGAGGAAGGUGGGGAUGACGUCAAAUCAUCAUGCCCCUUAUGACCUGGGCUACACACGUGCUACAAUGGACAGAACAAAGGGCUGCGAGACCGCAAGGUUUAGCCAAUCCCAUAAAUCUGUUCUCAGUUCGGAUCGCAGUCUGCAACUCGACUGCGUGAAGCUGGAAUCGCUAGUAAUCGCGGAUCAGCAUGCCGCGGUGAAUACGUUCCCGGGCCUUGUACACACCGCCCGUCACACCACGAGAGUUUGCAACACCCGAAGUCGGUGAGGUAACCUUUAUGGAGCCAGCCGCCGAAGGUGGGGCAGAUGAUUGGGGUGAAGUCGUAACAAGGUAACCGUA
rnacentral:rRNA from 1 species